GGUCUUCACAGUGCACCCGAGACCCGUCGACCCGGGACCCGUACGGGUUCGGGUCUAUAUUUUAAAUGAUCAGCCGGGUCCGGGUCAGGUCCGAAUCUAUUACUUCGGGUCCCGGAUCUGUUUAACAUUGUGUGUAAUACCCGUGCGAUCGGACGCGCAUGUGCAGUCUCAAGCGUGUGUCAUGUUUCUAUGGCAACCAGAGCUUCCGCCAAACCGUGCUUUACAUUUUCUCCCAUUUUUAUAAUAAUAUAAAUGAACCGUCUUGUUUAAUCUUAAAGUUUUGGUGGUCAGAUUCAGACUCAAUGCAGAGCAGAGAGCACAGA